CCAGCAGCUGCGGUAAUUCCAGCUCCAAUAGCGUAUAUUAAAGUUGUUGCAGUUAAAAAGCUCGUAGUUGGAUUUGUGGCAUGUGCCCGGACGUCGAUUGAUUUCGUUCUGUUUGGGCCGUGCCAUCCUUGGGUGGAAUCUGUGUGGCAUUAGGUUGUCGUGCAGGGGAUGCCCAUCGUUUACUGUGAAAAAAUUAGAGUGUUCAAAGCAGGCUUAUGCCGUUGAAUAUAUUAGCAUGGAAUAAUAAGAUAGGUCUAGGGUCCUAUUUUGUUGGUUUGCGGUCCUUAGAAAUGAUUAACAGGGACAGUUGGGGGUAUUCGUAUUCCAUUGUCAGAGGUGAAAUUCUUGGAUUUCUGGAAGACGAACUCCUGCGAAAGCAUUUACCAAGGAUGUUUUCA
rnacentral:rRNA from 1 species